CAAAUUCUAACCACAGUCAGGACCUGAACAUGAGUAUUGGGAAGUGGAGUCAUUGAAACUGCUUUAGAUCCCAAAUGUUUAUUCUGGAGAGGACAUCCUUCUGCUGAGUUCACCGUCUCUGACAAUGGCAAUUUUUGGAGCUCUGUCUGAAGAUAUCUCAAGCUGCAAGGACACUGCUUAUUUCUUGCUGUGUCUGUGUGUUCUUAUUGAAACUUUGAUCAGGCCACGCUAUGAAGAGAGGGCUGACUGAGUUGGUAAACCGUUAAACUGGAGCUAUCAUGUAUCGCCGAGGACACCACAAAAGGAUCGGGGCCUCCAGGGCAGAACGCCAGGCGAGCAUCAGAUCCAAGUUCCAAGAAGGAGUCUGCUCCCAUAAUUACCGACACCUUCAGUGCUGGAGCCUCAGGGAGCCUUCUCCUUGUGAGCAGGAGUAGCAGUGAACCUCUUCUUGGAGUGCAGUACUGUGGGGAAGCAUUGGAAACAAGACUGUUGGGAGCCUCGGGAUCACUUUGGGAAAAGACUCUUUCUGCCAGAGGGUUAAACCUCUCAUGAAAGGGACAUCUGCCAGUAAGAAGGAACUAAGUUCUGCACAGACAUAAAAAUAAUUGAAACCAGCUACCCCAGGCCAUGCUAAGUGCUUUCCAUGUGUUAGCCCUUGAAUGUUAACAGGAGCCCUAGGAGACAGGACCACCACUGCCCCAUUUCACAUUUGAAGACACUGAGGAACCGGGACAAAGCAAUUUGCCUGAAGCUGCCCACAAUUUAGGGGAAACCCAGGAUUCCAAUUACAGUUCAGACUCUACAAUACACCAGUGGGCUCAGAAUGGUUUUUAUAUUUUAAAUGGUUGACAAAAAUUAAGAGAGGAUGAUUUCAUGGCACAUGAGAAUUAUAUGAAAUUUGAUUUUUGGUAUUCACAAAUAC